CCCUUUGGGUGUGACUGCGUACCUUUUGUAUAAUGGGUCAGCGACUUAUAUUCUGUAGCAAGGUUAACCGAAUAGGGGAGCCGGAGGGAAACCGAGUCUUAACCGGGCGUUAAGUUGCAGGGUAUAGACCCGAAACCCGGUGAUCUAGCCAUGGGCAGGUUGAAGGUUGGGUAACACUAACUGGAGGACCGAACCGACUAAUGUUGAAAAAUUAGCGGAUGACCUGUGGCUGGGGGUGAAAGGCCAAUCAAACCGGGAGAUAGCUGGUUCUCCCCGAAAGCUAUUUAGGUAGCGCCUCGUGAAUUCAUCUCCGGGGGUAGAGCACUGUUUCGGCUAGGGGGCCAUCCCGGCUUACCAACCCGAUGCAAACUGCGAAUACCGGAGAAUGUUAUCACGGGAGACACACGGCGGGUGCUAACGUCCGUCGUGAAGAGGGAAACAACCCAGACCGCCAGCUAAGGUCCCAAAGUCAUGGUUAAGUGGGAAACGAUGUGGGAAGGCCCAGACAGCCAGGAUGUUGGCUUAGAAGCAGCCAUCAUUUAAAGAAAGCGUAAUAGCUCACUGGUCGAGUCGGCCUGCGCGGAAGAUGUAACGGGGCUAAACCAUGCACCGAAGCUGCGGCAGCGACACUGUGUGUUGUUGGGUAGGGGAGCGUUCUGUAAGCCUGCGAAGGUGGCCUGUGAGGGUUGCUGGAGGUAUCAGAAGUGCGAAUGCUGACAUAAGUAACGAUAAAGCGGGUGAAAAGCCCGCUCGCCGGAAGACCAAGGGUUCCUGUCCAACGUUAAUCGGGGCAGGGUGAGUCGACCCCUAAGGCGAGGCCGAAAGGCGUAGUCGAUGGGAAACGGGUUAAUAUUCCCGUACUUGGUGUUACUGCGAAGGGGGGACGGAGAAGGCUAUGUUGGCCGGGCGACGGUUGUCCCGGUUUAAGCGUGUAGGUGUGUGUUCCAGGUAAAUCCGGUUCACUUUAACACUGAGGCGUGACGACGAGGCACUACGGUGCUGAAGCAACAAAUGCCCUGCUUCCAGGAAAAGCCUCUAAGCAUCAGGUAACAUCAAAUCGUACCCCAAACCGACACAGGUGGUCAGGUAGAGAAUACCAAGGCGCUUGAGAGAACUCGGGUGAAGGAACUAGGCAAAAUGGUGCCGUAACUUCGGGAGAAGGCACGCUGACACGUAGGUGAAGUGAUUUACUCAUGGAGCUGAAGUCAGUCGAAGAUACCAGCUGGCUGCAACUGUUUAUUAAAAACACAGCACUGUGCAAACACGAAAGUGGACGUAUACGGUGUGACGCCUGCCCGGUGCCGGAAGGUUAAUUGAUGGGGUCAGCGCAAGCGAAGCUCCUGAUCGAAGCCCCGGUAAACGGCGGCCGUAACUAUAACGGUCCUAAGGUAGCGAAAUUCCUUGUCGGGUAAGUUCCGACCUGCACGAAUGGCGUAAUGAUGGCCAGGCUGUCUCCACCCGAGACUCAGUGAAAUUGAACUCGCUGUGAAGAUGCAGUGUACCCGCGGCAAGACGGAAAGACCCCGUGAACCUUUACUAUAGCUUGACACUGAACAUUGAGCCUUGAUGUGUAGGAUAGGUGGGAGGCUUUGAAGUGUGGACGCCAGUCUGCAUGGAGCCGACCUUGAAAUACCACCCUUUAAUGUUUGAUGUUCUAACGUGGACCCGUUACCCGGGUUGCGGACAGUGUCUGGUGGGUAGUUUGACUGGGGCGGUCUCCUCCUAAAGAGUAACGGAGGAGCACGAAGGUUGGCUAAUCCUGGUCGGACAUCAGGAGGUUAGUGCAAUGGCAUAAGCCAGCUUGACUGCGAGCGUGACGGCGCGAGCAGGUGCGAAAGCAGGUCAUAGUGAUCCGGUGGUUCUGAAUGGAAGGGCCAUCGCUCAACGGAUAAAAGGUACUCCGGGGAUAACAGGCUGAUACCGCCCAAGAGUUCAUAUCGACGGCGGUGUUUGGCACCUCGAUGUCGGCUCAUCACAUCCUGGGGCUGAAGUAGGUCCCAAGGGUAUGGCUGUUCGCCAUUUAAAGUGGUACGCGAGCUGGGUUUAGAACGUCGUGAGACAGUUCGGUCCCUAUCUGCCGUGGGCGCUGGAGAACUGAGGGGGGCUGCUCCUAGUACGAGAGGACCGGAGUGGACGCAUCACUGGUGUUCGGGUUGUCAUGCCAAUGGCACUGCCCGGUAGCUAAAUGCGGAAGAGAUAAGUGCUGAAAGCAUCUAAGCACGAAACUUGCCCCGAG
rnacentral:rRNA from 1 species